GGGGAAUAUUGCACAAUGGGCGAAAGCCUGAUGCAGCAACGCCGCGUGAGUGAUGAAGGUUUUCGGAUCGUAAAGCUCUGUUGCCAGGGAAGAACGUCCUGUAGAGUAACUGCUACAGGAGUGACGGUACCUGAGAAGAAAGCCCCGGCUAACUACGUGCCAGCAGCCGCGGUAAUACGUAGGGGGCGAGCGUUGUCCGGAAUUAUUGGGCGUAAAGCGCGCGCAGGCGGCUGUUUAAGUCUGGUGUUUAAUCCUGGGGCUCAACCCCGGGUCGCACUGGAAACUGGACAGCUUGAGUGCAGAAGAGGAGAGUGGAAUUCCACGUGUAGCGGUGAAAUGCGUAGAGAUGUGGAGGAACACCAGUGGCGAAGGCGACUCUCUGGGCUGUAACUGACGCUGAGGCGCGAAAGCGUGGGGAGCAAAC
rnacentral:rRNA from 1 species